AUUGGAGCGAAGCAAAAGUUUAUAACCUCUGGCUUAAACUACAACCAAGUUGAGCUCGCCUGGGAGCGCAUGGCCCCUAACAAGAAAGCAGGACGUGGAUCUCUCAUUGCGGAGAGAGGAAAAAAGAGAAAGGGAGAAACGGCAGCACAGCGCAUACGUUCAAGUGCCAUUGAAUAGCUGCUCAUCACGGAACGCCGGAGAAUGAUGCCUCAACGAAGUGGAAGGUGCCAGGAUACGCCACUCCGACCAAACUGCUAAAAGAACUAACUGAUGUAUUUGUAUUCCCAGCUUAGAGGCCUACAAUAUGAGUCCAAAAUCAAGCAUCCGGAUGGAAGCCUUA